AUGGUUUGUUUCAGACUCCCUAAAGGUCUGUGUGAGAGUGCGACAUCGAUCAUACGUCAGUUUUGGUGGGUUAGUAAGUGUGACAGACGCAAAUCAUGCUGGGUUUCAUGGGACAUAAUGACUCGCCCAAAGAACCUUGGUGGUUUGGGUUUCAAGGAUCUAGAAAUCUUUAAUCUCGCGUUAAGCCUCGAGAUUUUAAAUGAGUUGACAUCCUUGAGUGCACGAAUUCUCAAAGCAGUGUAUUUUCCUUCUAGCUCGAUUUUUGGGGCCGAAUUGGGACACCGUCCAUCUCAGUUGUGGCACGCUAUCAUUGAUAGGAGAGACAUAAUUAGAUAGGGCAUUAUCAGGAAGAUCGGCGAUGGCUCCACAACAAAAAUCUGGACCCACAAUUGGAUACAAAGGAUAGGUUUGAUGAGGCCGUUUUCCUCACUCGUUGCCGACCCACUGGAGCUAGUCUCGGCACUCGUUGACCACACAUCGGCGAGCUGGCGAGAGGAGAGAAUUAGAAAAGUUUUUCUUCCUGUGGAUGCUGAUAUGUUUCCAACGUAUCUAUAA
rnacentral:rRNA from 1 species